UACGUAGGUGGCAAGCGUUACUCGGAAUCACUAGGCGUAAAGCGCAGGUAGGAGGUUUGGUAAGUCUAUUGUGAAAGCUCCCGGCUUAACUGGGAGAGGUCAAUGGAAACUACCAGGCUGGAGUGCGGUAGAGGUAGCUGGAAUUCCCGGUGUAGCGGUGAAAUGCGCAGAUAUCAGGAGGAACACCAAUGGCGAAGGCAGCUCGCUGGGACGUUACUGACGCUGAGACGCGAAAGCGUGGGGAGCAAACAGG
rnacentral:rRNA from 1 species